GAAUUCGCCCUUAGAGUUUGAUCAUGGCUCAGGAUGAACGCUGGCGGCGUGCUUAACACAUGCAAGUCGAACGAUGAAGCCAGCUUGCUGGUGGAUUAGUGGCGAACGGGUGAGUAACACGUGAGUAACCUGCCCUUGACUCUGGGAUAAGCCUGGGAAACUGGGUCUAAUACCGGAUAUGACCUUCCAUCGCAUGGUGGUUGGUGGAAAGCUUUUGUGGUUUUGGAUGGACUCGCGGCCUAUCAGCUUGUUGGUGAGGUAAUGGCUUACCAAGGCGACGACGGGUAGCCGGCCUGAGAGGGUGACCGGCCACACUGGGACUGAGACACGGCCCAGACUCCUACGGGAGGCAGCAGUGGGGAAUAUUGCACAAUGGGCGCAAGCCUGAUGCAGCGACGCCGCGUGAGGGAUGACGGCCUUCGGGUUGUAAACCUCUUUCAGUAGGGAAGAAGCGUAAGUGACGGUACCUGCAGAAGAAGCGCCGGCUAACUACGUGCCAGCAGCCGCGGUAAUACGUAGGGCGCAAGCGUUAUCCGGAAUUAUUGGGCGUAAAGAGCUCGUAGGCGGUUUGUCGCGUCUGCCGUGAAAGUCCGGGGCUCAACUCCGGAUCUGCGGUGGGUACGGGCAGACUAGAGUGAUGUAGGGGAGACUGGAAUUCCUGGUGUAGCGGUGAAAUGCGCAGAUAUCAGGAGGAACACCGAUGGCGAAGGCAGGUCUCUGGGCAUUAACUGACGCUGAGGAGCGAAAGCAUGGGGAGCGAACAGGAUUAGAUACCCUGGUAGUCCAUGCCGUAAACGUUGGGCACUAGGUGUGGGGGACAUUCCACGUUUUCCGCGCCGUAGCUAACGCAUUAAGCGCCCCGCCUGGGGAGUACGGCCGCAAGGCUAAAACUCAAAGGAAUUGACGG
rnacentral:rRNA from 1 species